AGUUGCUGCUGGGCUCAUUGCAGCUCAGAUGCAGCAGAGGAGUCUAGAACCUGGGUCCUGGUUUGCACCUAGAAUAUGAGGCAAGUGGCAAGAGCGAUCGUGUUCCUGACCCUGAGUACUUGGAGCCUUGCUAAGACCACCCAGCCCAUCUCCAUGGACUCAUAUGAAGGACAAGAAGUGAACAUAUCCUGUAGCCACGACAACAUGGCCACAAAUGACUAUAUCUUCUGGUAUCAACAGUUCCCCAACCAGGGACCACGGUUUAUUAUUCAAGGAUAUAAGACAAACGUUGCAAAUGAAGUGGCCUCGCUGUUUAUUCCUGCUGACAGAAAGUCCAGCACUCUGAGCCUGCCCCGGGUUGCCCUGAGCAACACUGCUGUGUACUACUGUGUCGUGGGUGACACACAGUGA